UGGAAAAAAGAGUAAUGGCAGCGAUUAUUACUUCGCCUAACAAAAAAUUACAACACAAAUGGAGAAAAAAAAUUGUCGGAGCAUUCUUCGCGACAAAGCAGAGAUUAUCGGAAUGGAAAAAAAGAUACAGAUAAAAUGAGAAUUGCUUACCAGUUCGAGUCGACGGAGCCUUCUUUCACGGCAAAGCAGAUGAAGAAAAUGGCAGAUUGUGUUGUUCCCAAUUCCCAAUCUUUAAAAUCGAUUUUCGGAGGGCAUUAAUGAAAUUUGAAUUUUUUAGCCCUCCCAGAUUAAUGUAAACCGGCGCCCAACGCUGGUUAAUUGAACGAGGCGAAACAACCUAAUUAAUGCGGGCCGUCGGGCUGAUGCGGGCCAGCUUGAUUAUUUUCCAAUUCUAUCAAACACUAAGUAAAUGUUGGAUUAUUUAACAAACUAGCAUAUCCAG
rnacentral:lncRNA from 1 species